AUGGAGGUUUGGGUUUCAAUUUUCAACUUGGCCCUCUUAGCUAAGCAAGCUUGGUGUAUACUUGAUAGCCCAUAAUCUUUAAGUGCCAGGAUUUUGAAGGCCAUAUAUUUCUCUAACUUGGAGUUUUUGGAUGCUGAGAUUGGUACACGCCCUUCUCAAAUCUACAGAUCUUUGUUGGAUGGGCGGGACAUUAUGAAGCAACGCCUCAUCAAAAGGAUAGGGAAUGGAUCUACUACUGAAAUAUGGAACAUGAACUGGUUUCCAAGGCUGGAAAAUAUGCGCCCGAUUGUCUCGUUAGUAGAAAUCCGGAAAAUAUGCGCCCGAUUGUCUCGUUAG
rnacentral:rRNA from 1 species